GGAAAGCUUUAUUAGUUAUUUGAAAAAUAGAAAAAGUUUUAAAUCUGGGCGGCCUCACUCACGCGGGGCUGGAAUCAGCAAAAGCCCAUAUGGUUCUCAGUCGAGGGGGGCGAUCCUGCGUGAGACAAACCGUGUGUUUUGAUUGGCUGAGCCUACCCGCACAUGGAUCAAGCAUCUCCACCGUUCGAUUUUCCGAGAUCAAAUGGUUGGCACACAAUCCCUAAUUCCCGAUCCAUCUCUUCUUUCUUCCCCACCGCACAGUCGCCGGCUUCCAGUGCCUUCCUUUCUCCCAUCUCCUUCUCCAGUCGCCGCCUUCCAUCCCCUCCUAGCUCCUUCUCCCGGCUCCGAGUCCACACCGUGGCAAGCACCGAGGGCGCGACGUCCAGGCCGACCCACACCGUGCGGUGGUGUGCGCUUGGAUUUCGGGGGGCCGCAUCGACUCGUCCCCGGGGAGCUGCGUCGUCGUGGGCGUUGACACAGAACACGAAGGGAAGCGACGAAUCGACUGCCCGAGCGACGGCGGGCGGCAGGAUCUGGCGCUAGUGCGAUGGCUCGUCGAGCCGCGGCAGAGGAAACUGUCCCUGGUGGAGUCAGCAGCAACUCAGCCACGGUUCAGGCCGCCCCAUCUCUGUCCGAUGCGCUGAACCACCGAGGAAGCCGCAUCGACUAAGCACAGGCGCCUGGCGGAGGCGACUCUGCUGUGCUGGGACGCUGCAGUCCCUUCAAUGCCGUGUGUCCGCGUCCGUCGUAGACGGCGUCCUCACCCCUGGCUUCUCCCUCGACCUCGCGGGCUGUCAGUGGCUUGCCCCACCAUCUCGAGUUCGCUGUGUUUUAUUUCUGAAUUUUUGAGACAGUAUUUGGUUGUCCACGCGCAGGCAACGACUAUUCCAUGUUCUCGUCGCUGGAGAUCGACUACACAGGAGCAUGGGUAGAGGCGAUAUGGUGGUGUACCCGCAAAAAAGAGAGGCAAUAUGGUGGUGGAUAUGGUGUCACCGCUGUUUCGCUGAAGAAUAUCUUGGACAUGUUGUAGAUUGAAUAUGUGGGAUAUGCUACAAUAUUAUAGAGAUUUAUCUGUAAAUUGUUGUUGUCUUUCUUCCAUUUGUAUGAAGUGUUGUUUUGCAGUAUGUUUAUCAUUUAUUUAAUGACAUACUGUAGCAUAUAUUUUGGAAAAAAAAUAUUGGCUAAAAAAUUCUUUUUUAUUGUGAGAA